GUGGGGAAUCUUGCGCAAUGGACGAAAGUCUGACGCAGCGACGCCGCGUGGGUGAUGAAGGCCUUCGGGUUGUAAAGCCCUGUGGGGAGGGACGAAUAAGUCAUGGCUAAUAUCCAUGGUGAUGACGGUACCUCUUUAGCAAGCACCGGCUAACUCUGUGCCAGCAGCCGCGGUAAGACAGAGGGUGCAAACGUUGUUCGGAAUUACUGGGCGUAAAGCGCGUGUAGGCGGUGCGGUAAGUCGGGUGUGAAAGCCCUGGGCUCAACCCAGGAAGUGCAUUCGAUACUACCGUACUAGAGUCCCGGAGAGGUUGGUGGAACUCUCGGUGUAGAGGUGAAAUUCGUAGAUAUCGAGAAGAACACCGGUGGCGAAGGCGGCCAACUGGACGGUGACUGACGCUGAGACGCGAAAGCGUGGGGAGCAAACAGGAUUAGAUACCCUUGUAGUCC
rnacentral:rRNA from 1 species